AUGAAAAAUAAACAUACAUAAUAUAUACAUGUUUGAGUAUAUUGACAAUAACAUGGCAUUUUAAACUACCCAACAUUAACUGGUACAGAAAUACAAUUUUGAAUAGUAUUUACACAAUUUUAGUAUUAUAAAGAAUAAGGUAACUUUAAAAAUCUAUGGUCAACUAGACUCUAAUUUUAGUAAUUUGAAAGACAUUGAGUGGAUUGAAAGUUAUCUUUUAAUUUUUAAAUAAUAAAAUUAACAAACCUAAUUUUCAAUAGUUAAUAAAAUAAUAACAACAGUUUUGAUACCAUGUUUAAACAAUAAUUAUGUAUUAGAAUGGGUCAAAAAUGUUUAACAUAAUGCUUGAUUAGAAAAACAAACUUCAAAUACUUUAUUGUUAAUGAAUAUUUCAAAAUGUGAUGCAUUUUUUUUUUUUUUUUUUGAUUGAACAUACAAAAUAAUCAAUGAUUUCUACAAUAUAUUUAUAUGAAAGAGUUUACUUGUAGUCAAAUAAACUAGAUAUUAAAUAAACACAAAAUAUAUUAGUAUUAAUAACAUUGAUCAUGUUUGUUUUACCUACAAAAAUGUAUCUACUAUUUAUAUUUUAUUCAUUAAAUGUUAAGUCAGACUGCAAAUUUAUAUUUUGGACUAGACGUUAAUUAUAUGUUUGCUAAUUGAUAGUUAUCAAAACAAUUUUGUGAAAAAUGUGAAAUGUGAAGUAUAAAACUUUGUUCUGAAAUCGCUGUUAAUCAUCAGUUACCUAUAUACUUAUGAGACAAUUGUAAACAAUACAUCAGUAUUUAUCUGAACAACUUAUAAACAGCUUAAUAACAAUUUUAUAAAAAGGAACCAAAUAUAAUAUUAUUAUGGACAUAGCGUGAUCAAAUUAAAUUUCUCAACACAAUCUAAAUUUGGGGCUCCUGGAAGACUCUUCAUCCGAUUCAUAAUAAUACCUUUGUUUGGGAGAGAGACCGAACUGCAGUCGGCGAACUGCUUCUUUGAUAAGACUGCCUUCACGCAACAGCUCCUGCAGCAUUUCGUACGGGUCGUCGUUGGUCUCGUCGUCGUCGUCGUCAUCGCACCGACACGGUCUUCUGGCCGCACAAGAGUCGCAAGCCACCGGCCUUGUCGUGUAGGGUUUCACCCUCGCAUAGUGGGUAGUGCGGUGACGCCUCGACUUGAACCCCGACAACCGUAGAUUUUCUUUGAUCUCGGACACCAGAUGUUCUACGUCCAACGACAACAGCUUUGGCUUUUCGGCGGUCGACGCUGCAGACGUCAUCACGUCCCUGCUGUGCAUCGUAUCGCACAUACUUACGGGAAACGUCGUAGUCCAAGAACGCCAAUCAAUCGAAUAUGGCGAGCAUGAAAAUAGUUUUUCGAGACGAUCGUUCGCCAACAGGCGGGUCCGACGAUAACCGCGGCGACGGAACGGAACUCACCGCCGAACGGAACAACAAGGGCGUGUGUGUGCGUGUGGCGUUUGCGGACGUCGCAAAGGGGAACUACCCAAGUGUAGUCAAGACGGUGUCGUUACGUGACGAUACGUGUGUACUGUACAGUGUUAUUAUUAUUAUUAUUACACACAAACAAUAUCGUUUUACGUGACGUAGUUGUCGUACGGGUGACCACCGCGGAGGAGAAUAUUGUUUUAAUUUACAGUACGGACAAAACCGGCACCGACGUCGGUUUGCUCGUGUGUGUGUGCGACGUGUGUGCGUGUGUGUGUGUCUCUUUUCUCGAAAUGGAUCGUGGCGAUUCACGUCCGCCGAGGUAGGGGUAAUGGCACGCACGCACGUACGCCCGCAGACGAGGCGGCAACAACUCUCGUGUUAUUGUUUUGGUGCCAAUGUUCGCAGACAAAACAUCAAACGAACGGACGUCGCGUGCGGGCGCCGCGGCAACCGACGAAAACGUACUGAAAAUGUGUGCAAGAAACGGGUGGCCACGCGUUUUCCGCUUUUACCGACGUUUUUCCGGCGAAAAUCGACGACGUCGGCGACUGCGGAUCACUCGGGUGUAUCGUCGUCGUCGUCGUCGGUCGUUUUCACAAAAAUAUGAAACGAUAUCGACGUAAUGAAAAUACAAAAAAAUAUUAUUGUUAUUAUUGUUGGCGAAACGACGAUCGAUCGUACUGUGUUUAAUUUUUGUAAUUAUUUUUGCUGCUGCUGCUACUUUCGUACGACGUCGCACGACGGGUGUCCGCGUCUGUGUCUCUGUGUUGCCGAGUGUUGGUCGACUGUGGCGAGUGGCGAGGUAGAGAGAGCGAGUGACGAAGACUGGAGCGGUGUGGUGCCUGGCGGCGGUGGUGGUGGUGGUGGUGCUGCUGGUGGCUUGGUGCUGCACUGCUGCUGUUGCGGUGCGGGCCAAGACGACGGUCGACGGGACACGCACACGCCGGGUACACGUAUGGGGCCAAGGUUAUUUCGUCAGCCGACAAACACCACCGGCGGCAGCAGCGGCGGCGGCGGCGGGAGAAACGUAAACACGACGGCGGCAGCCGAACGAACUUUGGCGAAUCACUCUGUAUAUGUCUACGUAUCUAUAUUAUGAACGGCAUGUGUUAACUGAAAUCUGAAUGUCAACGAAAUUGAUACUUUUCACUACAAACGCUUCUACGCAAAACUCCAAUCCAACUCCAUCCAGCUCACCAGGAUUUAACCUUAUUAACAUAUUAGGCGGGAAUCCGAUCAGAUGACUUAAGCGGAACUGGAGCCAUGACUUAGAAAAAUGCACAAUAAAACUGUAAGCUGCUGAUGCUAUUAAUCUAAAUUCACUAGGUGUCUCUAAUGUGAGAUUUCUUACCAUAUUAUAUUAUUAUAUAUUAUUAUAUUAUUCGUCCGAGUUUUUUUACUAGGUAUACCUACCAUCAACUGUAACAAGUAUGUAUUAUAAUAUAUAAUACUGUAUAUAUGUACACAA